rnacentral:rRNA from 1 species
GAUGAACGCUAGCGGCAGGCCUAAUACAUGCAAGUCGAACGGUGUCUUCGGACAUAGUGGCGUACGGGUGCGUAACACGUAUGCAACCUACCUUACAUUGGGGGAUAGCCUUUCGAAAGGGAGAUUAAUACCGCAUAAGACAGUAGCUGGGCAUCCAGCAGCUGUUAAAGAUUUAUCGAUGUAAGCUGGGCAUGCGUCCAAUUAGCUAGUUGGUGAGGUAACGGCUCACCAAGGCAAUGAUUGGUAGGGGAACUGAGAGGUCAAUCCCCCACCCUGGCACGGAGAUACGGGCCAGACUCCUACGGGAGGCAGCAGUAGGGAAUAUUGGGCAAUGGACGAAAGUCUGACCCAGCCAUGCCGCGUGCAGGAUGAAGGCGUUAUGCGUUGUAAACUGCUUUUAUACAGGAAGAAACGACUCUUGCGAGAGGCAUUGACGGCACUGUAUGAAUAAGCACCGGCUAACUCCGUGCCAGCAGCCGCCGUAAGAC